GGGUACCAAAAUGGAAUCUAGUGUCACUGAAGAGGCUCAAAAGGGAAAAAGAACUUGGUCUCCAAGCAGGAGAAGGAAAUGGCCCAACUCUCUGCCGAGUGACCUGGUCUUUCCUGGAUCUGAGCUCCGAAGCCAGGAGGCGAAGGGCCCAUGUUGUGCCACCUCAGCUCCUGAUCCCAAGACCAAGGAGCUGCCAGACCUGCGUCAGCUUCUCACUGUCGGUGUGAUUUGCCACUGUGUGACUCUUGGAAAAGAAAAUCCAACGAUUUUGAUGAUUCAAGAAAGCAGAAGGCCCAACCUUCAGUAAAACCACAGGUCUCCGGGAGUCGGCUUUGGCAUUCUCUUGCAAACACAGGUUUACUGAGCACAGGGUAAGGUAGGACACAGGGAAUCUGAAAGAACCAAAACAGCUUUGUAAGAAUAGUGCAUGAAGAGCG
rnacentral:lncRNA from 1 species